UACGGUAGGGUGCGAGCGUUAAUCGGAAUUACUGGGCGUAAAGCGUGCGUAGGCGGUUCGUUAAGUCUGCUGUGAAAGCCCCGGGCUCAACCUGGGAAUGGCAGUGGAUACUGGCGAGCUAGAGUGUGAUAGAGGAUGGUGGAAUUCCCGGUGUAGCGGUGAAAUGCGUAGAGAUCGGGAGGAACAUCAGUGGCGAAGGCGGCCAUCUGGAUCAACACUGACGCUGAGGCACGGAAAGCGUGGGGAGCAAACAGG
rnacentral:rRNA from 1 species